CCGACUGUGCCUAUUGCCUUGCUCUCACACUGAAUUUCUUCUGCAAGGAGAUAAAAGAACUUGAGCUUCUGUAAGUCCUGACACCAGGCUGUGAUGUGGUCUUUGAAUAAUGUGGACGUCCUUCCAUGUCAGAAAUCUCAUGAUUUUUCAGGAAUCCUGAGAUCGAAGAUACAUGGCUUCAACUGUUAAAUUCAACAAGCAUUUUAGAGAGAUGGUGUUUCAAACACAAAACCCAAACUAAGUGAAAAGAACAUCAAUACAGCAAGAAUCCCCCUCUGGCUUCUCUCUGGAUGGAACAACGGUGGUGGUGGGGGGUGCGGUUUCAAACUCUUUAAAGACAAUGGACACAAAGAGAAUAAGAGAAGAAGCUCAUAGAAUUCUGAUAACCAGAAUAUGGAACCUAUCACAAAUAUUAGGAAUUUUUAUUUAUAACUGAAUUGGACAGUCAUCAAUAAACAAAACCAUUUAAAAAUCAAAUUUAGGAGUUCUCAUUGUGGCUCAGCAGAAAUGAACCCGACUAGUAUCCAUGAGGAUGCGAGUUUGAUCCUGGGCC